GACGAAGGGGGCUAGCGUUGUUCGGAAUUACUGGGCGUAAAGCGCGUGUAGGCGGUUUCCCAAGUCAGGUGUGAAAUCCUGGAGCUCAACUCCAGAACUGCCUUUGAUACUGAGGAUCUUGAGUUCGGGAGAGGUGAGUGGAACUGCGAGUGUAGAGGUGAAAUUCGUAGAUAUUCGCAAGAACACCAGUGGCGAAGGCGGCUCACUGGCCCGAUACUGACGCUGAGGCACGAAAGCGUGGGGAGCAAACAGG
rnacentral:rRNA from 1 species